GGGCGCUUGGUCUAGGGGUAUGAUUUUCGCUUCGCAUACCGGGUCAAUCCGGAAGCCAAUUGUGAAAGGUCGUGGGUUCAAUUCCCACAGUGUCCA